GUGACUACGAGCCAGGUUAGGAGACAGCUGGAGAGGCUCCACCAGAGGAAGGCAGCAGGACCUGAUGGCAUCAGCCCCAGGAUCCUGAGGACCUGCGCCAGCCAGCUGUCUUCUGUCAUCCAACACCUCUACAACCUGAGCCUGAGUCAAGAGAGAAUCCCAGUGCUGUGGAAGACGUCCUGUCUCGUUCCUGUCCCAAAGAAGUCGACUCCAUCUGACCUCAAUGACUACCGACCAGUUGCCCUCACGUCCCAUCUGAUGAAGGUGCUGGAGAGGUUGGUCUUGGCCCACCUGAGGCCGCAGGUGAAGGAGCUCUUAGACCCUCUACAGUUUGCCUACUGGCCCCAUUUGGGAGUUGACGAUGCUGUCAUCUCCCUGCUGCAACGAGCUCAUUUGCAUCUGGAUGGUGGUGGCAUCACUGUGAGAAUCACCUUCUUUGAGUUCUCUAGUGCUUUCAACACCAUCCAGCCACUGCUGCUGGGUGAGAAGCUGCGGGUGAUGGGUGUCGACACCUCCAUGGUCACCUGAAUCACUGACUACCUGACGGACAGGUUUGUCCGUCUCGGCAGUGUUCUGUCUGACGCAUCAGUGAUGCAGGAGCUCCACAGGGGACUGUGCUGUCCCCUUUCCUUUUCACCUUGUACACCACUGACUUUCAGUACAACUCCGAGUCAUGCCACCUGCAGAAAUUUUCUGAUGACUCGGCUGUUGUUGGGUGUAUAAGGGGGGGAAGGGAUGGGGAGUGGGCAGUGGUAGAUAACUUUGUGGAGUGGGCUGGGCGCAAUCACCUGAGGCUGAAUGUCACCAAGACCAGAGAGAUGGUCAUCGACCUCAGGAAGAAGAGGACGGCUCCACAGCCGCUGUGCAUCCUGGGAGAAGAUGUGGAGGAGGUGGAGGUCUACAAGUACCUGGGCGUCCAUAUAAACAACAAACUAGACUGGAAAUCCAACACCGACGCUGUCUACAAGAAGGGGAUGAGCAGACUCUACUUCCUGAGGAAGCUGAGAUCCUUCAACGUGUGCAGCAAGAUGUUGGAGAUGUUCUACCAGUCUGUGGUGGCCAGCGUACUUUUCUUUGCCGUGGUUUGUUGGGGGAGCAGCAUCGGAGCCAGUGACACCAACAGACUCAACAAACUGAUCAGGAAGGCUGGCUCCGUGAUUGGCUGCAAACAGGACACUGUUGAGGCUGUGGUGGAGAGGAGGACACUGAACAAACUGUUAUCCAUCAUGGACAACCCUGACCACCCUCUCCACCUCACUCUGGACAGACAGCGGAGCUCCUUCUCCAACAGACUGUUGCAGAUCCGCUGUCGUAUGGUCCUAAAAGUUCAUUCAAAUAAAAAGGUGCAAGCCCAUUAAGUGCUUUAAAAACAAACAUUAAGAUCUUAAAAUCACCUCUGAAAUGUAUCGGGAGCCAGUGUAGCGCUGCCAAGACCGGAGUUAUAUGGUCACAUUUGCGUGUGCUGGUUGAAAGUCGGGCCUCUGCAUUCUGGACCAGCUGUAGUCAGCUGAGUGAGGACUGACUGAUACCAAGGUACAGUCCAUUGCAGUAGUCCAGUCUUGUAGAGAUAAAAGGAUGUACAGCUCUCUCAAAGUCUAAAAAUGUUAAAAACGGUUUAACUUUUGAGAGCAUUCUUAAAUAAUAAAACCCAGCUUUAACUCCAGCAUUGAUUUGUGUAUCUAGUUUAAAAUCAGAGUUGACACUACAGGCAUGACAAAGGGUUCAAAAGGACCCAGGUCCGUUGUGGAGUCACCUGACAUGCCACUGGGUUUAAGAACAAUGAUUUCUGUUUUGCUUUCAAAACAAUUUAAAAGCAAUUUAAGAAAACUUCCAUUGUUUCUUUUCAGGGGCAAGUAGAUCUGUGAGGCAUAGAAAUGAAAAGAAAUGUCGUAUUUCCUUAAAAUUUAUCCAAGGGGAAGAACAUACAAUGAGAACAGGAUAGGUCCAGGAAUAGAGCCCUGGGGGACCCCACAAGAAAGAGGGGAUGAGGACGAGUUAGCACUCCCAAAGGUCACUUGAAAACUCCUCUGAUGCAGAUAGGACCUAAACCAUUCUAAGGCCAUUCCUUUAAUGCCAACACAGUGCUCAAGUCGGGAGAUGAGUAUAUCGUGGUCAACUGUGUCAAACGCUGCUGUCAGAUCUAAAAGCAUGAGGAGAGCACAAUCACCAGUGUCAGUUAAAAUGAAAAGGUCAUUAAAAACUCUUAAAAGUUCUGACUCAGUGCUAUGGAAAGAUUUUAAACCAGGCUGGAACACCUUGGGAAUGUUUUAUUUUAUUAAAAACAACUGUAAUUGUGAAAAGACCACCUUCCCUAAAAUCUUUGAAAUGAAGUUUAGAGAUAGGGCGGUAGUUUGAGAGCACUGAUGGGUCCAGAUUUUUUCUUUAAUUAGCUGCUGUACUACUGCCUGUUUAAAAUACAAAGGGACAACACCACAAGUCAGGCUACUUUAUGAUCUCCUGUAAACUUGUUCCAAUCAUGCCAAACCUCUUUAAAAAGACGAGGUGCGAUGAUACCAGACAGACAAGUAGAUGGUCUCAGUUUUGUGCGAACAUCUGAGAGACAGGAAAGAGAAACUGGCUCAAAUUGGUAAAAAAAAAAAAAAAAACUGGGGAGUAACUAAUGGGUCAGAUGAUGGGGUUAAAAUAUUGGCUCGUAUCAUGUCAAUUUUAUUAACGAAAAAGUUUAAAAACUUUUCACAAGAGACUUUCCUCAGUAAUGCAUUACUUUUGUGGUUUAAGUAACCAAGUUACUAACUUACUUUUUUUUAAUACAAAGUAAGUAAUAACCGUAACUAGUAACUGCUUUUUAGUAACUAGCACAACACUGCUCAUACACAAGUAAAAGUUGCUCAAAGUAUUACUUAAGUUAAAGUACUGGUACCUGCUUUUAAAGAGACUUGUGUUUUUGAAGUACUUGAAAAAAUCUAAAAACAUUGUAUUUUCUCAGUUCAUGUUUUCCGUCCAGAAUACAUGAGUGUAUAUCCUGUCACAGUCUGUAUUUAGAAAACAUCAUUUACACUUUUUAAAGUCACAUGCUAAGAUUUACAAAAUAACUGGACAAGAAAAUAGCAGUGAAGUCACUACAAGCACUGCCAGCUUGGUAUUAACUAUUAUUCUGGAAUCAAACAAAUAUUUCGCUACAUGCCUUGACAUGUUUUCUCAGAUUGGAUGGUGAAUUUCUGUAGGCAAACAUUUAAAGGGAUAAGAAUCAAUCUUUACUUGAAAAACUUCAACCAUGAAGAUAUGACCAUGGAUGCUUAAGGAGAGAAUUAUCAUUCACCUCCGCCAUCAUCAUAGCAAAAAUGAUUAGCUACCUCAUUUAAGUGAUUAUUCCUCUGUAUGUUUAUUGAUGGAUCGCAAUGCAAUGUUAAGGUGCAUCUCACUCUCUAUUGUGCUGGACUGAAAAGGCCCAAUGCACAAAAUAUAUUGCUAAGUCCAUGUCAGGUCUUUCAUAGAUCAAUAAAUAUAAUAAAACUUUAUAGUCAUAGAGUGACGGGCUUAACUGAUUGAAAAAAUUACCUAAUUUAUUUCUCAUCAUGGAUUACAGCUCAGCCUUCAAUACAAUCAGGCCGCUGAAGCUGACCACUAAACUGGCUGACCUGGGAGUACCAAGACCCACCUGUAACUGGAUCCUUGACUUCCUCACAGACAGACCUCAGGUGUUGAGGAUGGGAAAGAAGGUCUCUGCAGAGCUCACAGUGAGCACAGGAACACCACAGGGCCACUGCCUCAGCCCUAGACUCUUCUUCCUUUACACAUAUGACUGUGCCUUCACCCAUGAAAGCGAGAACAUCUUCAUUAAGUAUGCAGAUGACGCGACCAUCCUUGGUCUCAUCAGAGGAGGGGAUGAGUCUGCAUACAGGGCUCUGAUCUAUAGGAUAACUGUCUAUGGAGAGGACUACGGCCUUGUUCUUAACAGAGACAGAACAAAAGAACACCCCCCCAGACACUCACCAUUAAGGGGACGGAGGUGGAGCGGACUGAUAGCCACAAGUUCCAGGGGCUUCACCUCAUAGAGAACCUCAGCUGGGCAAAAAACACUACUGCUUCAGUGAAAAGAAAAGAGCUCAGAAGAGACUGUAUUUCAUCAGACUGUUGAAGAAGGCAGAACUCAAAUGUCAGCCCCUCACCCAGGCCUACAAAGGACUUGUUGAAAGCAUCCUCACCAGUGGUUUCACAGUAUGGUACAAGAACACCACCAGCUACAGCGGGUUGUCAAAACUGCAGAGAGAAUCACUGGCCCUCAUUUAUCAAUCUUGCGUAGAACUGAGUGCAGGAUUCAUCGUACGAUAGGACACACGUGAGAUUUAUGAAAGGGUUCGUAUCUGACCAAUCCCAGCGCACAUAUGAUCGGGUCUUCAUAAAUGCGGCGGCUGAAAUCGAUCGUCAUUAACAUGUCACGCCCUUAAAUAGUCAUGGUUCAGAAGCCUCGCCCACUAAGGUCAAACAUGAAAGAGGAGAAAUAUAAGAAAAUGAGAUCCUCGCAUCUGUGGUGAAAACUAACAAAGAUUUUCUCUUUGGAAGCAUCAAAACUGGUAUAAAAGCUGGAGCAGGAUUAUGGAGGUGGUGAACAGCGCUGCAGCGGAAUAGUGGACAGUGGCUGAAGUUUAAAUAAAUCAUUAGUCAAUAAGUUGCUCAUGAUGAUAAAUUAAUAUCUCAUACAUGCCUCGUAUUUUUUUAUUGCCAUGACAUAGGGUAUGUUGCUCCUAUUAUUGAAAGUAUUUAUUUUUAACUUGUUGCGUCUUUGUUAUAUAGAGCAGACUGGAGAGUCUGACAGAGGCUGAACAAAAGUAAUUAUUAACCUCACCAAACGAUGUGUUUGGUGUUAACCCUGAGUCACAUUUUUAUGGAUUUCUAUUGGAUUUUUAUCAGUGAUUAAAUAGCAAGAGCACUUUCUAAACUUAUACUUUACAUGUCAGAAUCCAUGGAUAAGGUCCUGUCUCCUCUGUACAGCACCUUUGUGGAGUCUUUCCCUGUUAUUGUUCUCUGGGCAUCAGGUCCUCACGUUGCACUGGCACAGCCAGCGACACUCCAUUCACAAGUGCAACAUUGUGCAAAACUGUGUUGGCCCAGAUGAUGUCCCACACCCUUUCAGGAGUGUACAACAACAUCCCUGCUGCUGGGCCAAGACAGAGACACCUGCCUUUUAGGAGUUAAACGCAGCGCUCCACAGUGGCGCGUGUGCAUGUGUGCGCAGUGUUAAAACGGCGCUCCUGCUCUGUGGCAGUGUUUCUGGGCAGAGUCUUUGAUGAAAUCUGGCUGAUUGUGCCUAAUGAAAGGUUUGCUGCCCUGCAGAACCACACUGACUCAAACUUGCGUACACAAUAUCAGACCUGUCGUGAGAUUUGGUCAUGGCGUACACUCACGUGCAGAUUGAUAAAUGCUGAUCCUCACGUCAAAAUUUUUGUACGCAAGGUGUACGCAAGUUUUCUGCCAUACGCAAGCUUGAUAAAUGAGGGCCACCAUCUCUGAGCUCCCCUCCAUGAAUACCAUCUAUACCCAGUGCAGCAGGAGAAAAGUGCAGAGCAUUGUCAGGGACCAACACCACCCAGCCCAUGCUCUAUUCCAGUGGACAGACUCAGGCUACAACCUAAGACACCACAGACGUGUGAGCAUCAGCACUCAUAGGGCCCGCUGAUACAACAGCUUUUGCCCUGCCACUGUCAUGCUGGUGGCACAUGACAUUUAAGAGGGUAAAAACCUCAGCUACCUUACUAGGCCUGCAGCUUUCAUCAUGUGCAUGCAUUGCGCACACACAUACCGACAUACUGUACUAACACACACACACACAAACACACACACACACACACACACACACACACACAUACUUUUGGAACGUACUUUUGAUCUACAUAUACAGUAGGGCUGUCAUGAUAUCAUAUUUACACUUAAUGAUUAUCAUGGGCAAAAAAUGUCACAAUAACGAUAUUAAUCAAUGACAAUCAAUCAAAUUUGUCUUUGUAUCCCAAUGUUAUUUUCAGUUUUUUAUUUUGUAUUCAUUUCUUAAGUGAAUUUGAGUCGUUUUGAUGAGUUUUGUUUUUCUAUGCACACUGAAUGCAUCACAAUUCCACGAAUGGCAGUCUUAUGGUGAUAUGGUCGAGUCCUGUGAUGGGCUAAUCCGAGGAGAGGGACAGUUGUUGAAGAAUAUCCUGGUGAGUGUAAAUGUAUGCAUUUAGCAGUCUGUUCGCAAACAUAUUAACAAAUAGGGAGAAUUUGUGUGCACUUUAAACUAUAAAACCAGUCAGGAUAUGUUAUGUCUUGUGUGGGAGUGAUUGUUUUUUGCUGUAAUGGAGUUGUUAACUGUGUUAGCAGGGAAGAAAACUUAGCUAGCACACUGUGUUUUUUUGAUGGAGCACUGCACAGGAGUUGACGCACGUGGUGUGGAUUUAAUGUGAGCCUGCUACAAGGCUAAUGUGCAUGUCUCACGAUUCAUUUAUUGAUGUUUUUGUUUGUUUUUUUUAUAUAAGAAAAUGUAUUGGCCAGUAACAAGGGUAACUUGUGGCAAAACCUGUUUAUUAUUCUUGAAAUCCAAGUGCAUGUAUUUCAUAUUAGGUGGAUUAUACAUUUUAUUUUGCACAUUGAGUAACUGCUCUGCAUGUUUUGUGCAGGCUGUUUUUUUUUUUUGUUGAUAGAGUCACUGACAGAAUGAGCUGUGUCGUCUGUGGACUGGAUUUCGCCUGAAGGGUCUGCAAAGGACAUUCUGGAUCUGAUGACCACCCGGUUGCAAGGAGGGUGGUAGGACAAACAAAUGGAUUUCCCAUCCCCUUGGAGAUUUACAUUUUUUUUUUAUGCCAUCCAAGAUCUCAGACCUUUUUUUUCAUUUUUUUGUUUCAUUUUAUUUGACAGGCCUGACGCACACUGACAAACACAUAUACACACACACGCGCACAUAAGAACCUGAUGGUCAAAGGGACCAUUGAAUCCUAACAAGGGAAGUGAACUGAGUGUGACCAAUGAAUGGACAGUAUUGAAAUUAAUGACAGGUUAUUCAAUUGAUUGUAUGUUUUUUUUCUCUUUGCUCCUUUUGUUCUGUUCAUGCCUGUGUCUUGGGAUACCUAUGUUUUUUCUUGUUCUUUUGAAGAAGUCUCGUAGUAAGUAUGGUCAAUAUCUUGCCAAUACACGUUCUACUCUCUCACUGAAUUAAUUGUCAGAAUCUUAUUGUGGUUGGAGGUUUCUUUUCACUCAACAGAGUUACCAUUGCCAAUCUCCUUACGAAUCCUAGUCAUUGAGCCCUGCGUGUGUAGAUUUAGAAAAGGGACGUGUUAACUUAGAUUUUGAUUUUCCUUUUUUUUCUGACUGCAUAGAAGGCAAGGGUGACAUCUUCAACUUUAUGUUGUUGUCUCUUUUUUCACAGAUGAAUUAUACUCAAAAUAUCUGUCUAAGGAGGUACUGAGACAAUAUGAAAACAGUAACUGUUCAACGACAUACAAAAAGUGCAGUUACACUCAACAAUUAAAAGGUAACCAGGCAAACUGAUAAACAGAUAAUCGUCAAUGUGCAUCUGCUAUAACUAGAAUAUGUGAACUGAAACAAAACUAGUUGUGGAUAACAGGGGACAAAGCAUUUGUGUGCAACUGAACAAUUACAA
rnacentral:lncRNA from 1 species